rnacentral:pre_miRNA from 12 species
GCUGUCUCCAUGGUGACCGUGGCUUUAGAUUGUUACUGUAGCAGCUGCAGGGAGGUAACAGUCUACAGCCAUGGUCGCUAGGGGCAGAC